rnacentral:rRNA from 1 species
UCCUGACUGACCGAUAGUGAACCAGUACCGUGAGGGAAAGGCGAAAAGAACCCCGGCGAGGGGAGUGAAAAAGAACCUGAAACCGUGUACGUACAAGCAGUGGGAGCACGCUUAGGCGUGUGACUGCGUACCUUUUGUAUAAUGGGUCAGCGACUUAUAUUCUGUAGCAAGGUUAACCGAAUAGGGGAGCCGAAGGGAAACCGAGUCUUAACUGGGCGUUAAGUUGCAGGGUAUAGACCCGAAACCCGGUGAUCUAGCCAUGGGCAGGUUGAAGGUUGGGUAACACUAACUGGAGGACCGAACCGACUAAUGUUGAAAAAUUAGCGGAUGACUUGUGGCUGGGGGUGAAAGGCCAAUCAAACCGGGAGAUAGCUGGUUCUCCCCGAAAGCUAUUUAGGUAGCGCCUCGUGAAUUCAUCUCCGGGGGUAGAGCACUGUUUCGGCAAGGGGGUCAUCCCGACUUACCAACCCGAUGCAAACUGCGAAUACCGGAGAAUGUUAUCACGGGAGACACACGGCGGGUGCUAACGUCCGUCGUGAAGAGGGAAACAACCCAGACCGCCAGCUAAGGUCCCAAAGUCAUGGUUAAGUGGGAAACGAUGUGGGAAGGCCCAGACAGCCAGGAUGUUGGCUUAGAAGCAGCCAUCAUUUAAAGAAAGCGUAAUAGCUCACUGGUCGAGUCGGCCUGCGCGGAAGAUGUAACGGGGCUAAACCAUGCACCGAAGCUGCGGCAGCGACGCUUAUGCG